UAACUAUUUAGAACUAUCCCGGAAAAAGUUAACAUAAAGGUCUUUACUCACAGGUUAUAAACACAAUUGCUUGACUUAAGAAUAAAAUUAAAGUUUAUGAUUUUUCUUCAAUUAGCAGUUUGCUAAUAUUUUUAGCUUAUUCAAGUUUUUCAAGAAGCAGGAGUUUUCAGAAGUCUUGUUGAGGCAAGAAGUGAGGAUCAACUUAUCGGUAAGUUCGUGAUGUUUUCUUUUUCCUUGUUUUAAUUUCCUAGUUCUUGUAUAUGCAUGCCUAUCAAGUGUUGUAGAUUCAAGUAGAAUGAGAGAUUUUCUAGGAGGUUAAGUUUUG
rnacentral:lncRNA from 1 species